rnacentral:misc_RNA from 1 species
UACAGAGACCUCGAACAUUAUCCGGAUUCAUUGGGCGUAAAGGGUCCGCAGGUGGUUUUAUAAGUUAAUGGUCAAAUCCUGGAGCUUAACUUCAGGACUGCUGUUAAUACUGUAGAACUCGAGACCGGGAGAGGCAAGCGGAACUAUCGGUGUAGUCGUAAUAAGCGCUGAUAUCGAUAGGAACACCAAAGGCGAAGGCAGCUUGCUAGAACGUGUCUGACACUCAGGGACUAAAGCGUGGGGAGCGAAUGGG